rnacentral:RNase_P_RNA from 1 species
CGGGCCGUCCGACCCAUCGCUGCGGCGGGGGAUGCGUCCUCCGUCGUAGAGCAAAGUCCGGACUCGCAGUAAAGGCCGCUCGGGCUAACAACCCGAGGGGCGGUGGGCGCAAGCCCUCCGCCACGUCAAGUGCAACAGAGAGCAGACCAGCCGAUGGUGGAAGGCUUCGCCUCCCACACAGGUGAUGGGUGAAAGGGUGGGGUAAGAGCCCACCGGCGGUACCCCGAGAGGGGCCGGCCAGGUAAACAACCGGUGCGAGCAAGCCAAAGUGCUCCGGUCGAAAGACCGGACGGGUAGGCGCAGCUUCCCCGCGGGGAAGCCCGGAGGAAACUCCGGAGAUGGAUGAUGGGAUAGAGCGGAAUCCGGCUUACGGGACGGCCCGGACU